CUUGUACACACCGCCCGUCUCACCAUGGGAGCGGGUUCUGCCAGAAGUAGUUAGCCUAACCGCAAGGAGGGCGAUUACCACGGCAGGGUUCGUGACUGGGGUG
rnacentral:rRNA from 1 species